rnacentral:rRNA from 1 species
ACGUAGGUGGCAAGCGUUAUCCGGAAUUAUUGGGCGUAAAGCGCGCGCAGGCGGUUUCUUAAGUCUGCUGUGAAAUCCCCGGGCUCAACCUGGGAAUGGCAGUGGAUACUGGAAAGCUGGAGUGCGGUAGAGGGUAGUGGAAUUCCCGGUGUAGCAGUGAAAUGCGUAGAGAUCGGGAGGAACACCAGUGGCGAAGGCGGCUACCUGGACCAGCACUGACACUGAGGCACGAAAGCGUGGGGAGCAAACAGGA